rnacentral:rRNA from 1 species
GAACGAACGCUGGCGGCAGGCUUACCACAUGCAAGUCGAGCGCCCCGCAAGGGGAGCGGCAGACGGGUGAGUAACGCGUGGGAACGUACCUUUUGGUUCGGAACAACUCCGGGAAACUGGAGCUAAUACCGGAUAAGCCCUAACGGGGAAAGAUUUAUCGCCGAAAGAUCGGCCCGCGUCUGAUUAGCUAGUUGGUGAGGUAACGGCUCACCAAGGCGACGAUCAGUAGCUGGUCUGAGAGGAUGAUCAGCCACACUGGGACUGAGACACGGCCCAGACUCCUACGGGAGGCAGCAGUGGGGAAUAUUGGACAAUGGGCGCAAGCCUGAUCCAGCCAUGCCGCGUGAGUGAUGAAGGCCUUAGGGUUGUAAAGCUCUUUUGUCCGGGAAGAUAAUGACUGUACCGGAAGAAUAAGCCCCGGCUAACUUCGUG